rnacentral:rRNA from 1 species
CAGCCGCCGCGGUAAUAAGGAGGAUCCAAGCGUUAUCCGGAAUCAUUGGGUUUAAAGGGUCCGUAGGCGGUUUAGUAAGUCAGUGGUGAAAGCCCAUCGCUCAACGGUGGAGCGGCCAUUGAUACUGCUGAACUUGAAUUAUUAGGAAGUAACUAGAAUAUGUAGUGUAGCGGUGAAAUGCUUAGAGAUUACACGGAAUACCAAUUGCGAAGGCAGGUUGCUACUAAUUGAUUGACGCUGAUGGACGAAAGCGUGGGGAGCGAACAGGAUUAGAUACCCCGGUAGUCCCUGUCUCUUAUAC